AAAACAACAGCUUUGUCAUGCAGCUCUUAAGUUGUGACUGGCCAAACUUGGAUAUUUCAGAUAUUUGAGAAAACAUCUUGAUUGUCCUCCAACCAGCGCGCCAGUUUUUUGCCCAGUUUUUUGGAAAGCCGACGCGUGGGCGACCGCAAGACUGUACGCAAAUCAAGAGGUGGGGGGUCCGUACAGUAGUGUAGCCUGGGGUCCGUUAAUAAGCGGCAUGCAAGUUAUCUUGUCUGGAGAAGCAAGGGGGGAUUAGUAUCAUGUUAAUGAUAAUGAGAGGUAAAAACAAUGAGCACAUUUCAUGGUGGGAUAAUGGAGCGAGAAUAUCGCACAUGAUCCAAACACUUGACUCCACUCAUUAUUCACAAUAAAGGCUUCGUAUAAAGUUUUAUAGCCGCUGCAAGAUAGUUUCAUUGCAAGUCGCUAAAUAAUUCAACAGCGGCGCUGAAGAAAACAGGGUAAAUGAGCAGUUUUUGGCUUGUUCUUAAAUCAUUUGUCUGAUAUCUAUACUACUGGGAUUUUUUUACGAUGAUAUAAUCCAAAACUAAUAAAAAAAAAAUUGCAUGCACUAACAACUCUAAUCUGCAUUAAUUUCUCUUAAAUUCUCAUUCACUACUACCCUGAAACAGAUGAUACAAAUCAAACGUUGUCAUUGUAGCAGACAUACAACAGUAAUGCAUCCAGAACAGUGCAGUGGGGGCUGGCUAUGCAAUAGCACAAAAGGCACAUGUUAUAAAUGACAAUAAAUGAAAAUGUGAUAACUCUGUCGGAUUUGUAAUCGCUUGUAGAGGCAGCACUUAACAUACUGUACAGUGUGUAUGUGGCACAUGGACGUAAGGCCCAGCAGAGGAUGUAAUUCCUGCGGCUUCUGAGAAAGCACGGCCUGCCCCCGGAGCUGCUGAGACAGUUCUCCACAGCGGUCAUCGAAUCAGUCCUGUGUUCUUCCAUCACAGUCUGGUUCGGUGCUGCUACAAAAAAGGACAAACUCCGACUGCAACGGACAAUCAAAACUGCUGAAAGGAUUGUCGGAACCCCCUACCCACCCUUGAGGACAAGGGCGUGCAAAAUCCUCUCGGACCCUCCCCACCCCGGUCACCAGCUCUUCCAGCUCCUUCCCUCAGUGCUCCUUCCGUGUUCUCCGCCUUGCUGACCUCUUCCUCCACACCGCCAAGCCAUCCACCUGUUCACACCACCGCCUGCCACGCGCUCCCUGUCUCAUCGACCUGCCAGUAUGCCUCAAGGAUCCACCUCUGACUCCCUUCACAAUAAACCA